CCCCGGGAGGGGAGUGAAAUAGAUCCUGAAACCGUGUGCAUACAAACAGUAGGAGCCUCCUUGUGGGGUGACUGCGUACCUUUUGUAUAAUGGGUCAGCGACUUACAUUCAGUGGCAAGGUUAACCGGAUAGGGAAGCCGUAGAGAAAUCGAGUCCGAACAGGGCGAUAGUCGCUGGGUGUAGACCCGAAACCAAGUGAUCUACUCAUGGCCAGGAUGAAGGUGCGGUAACACGCACUGGAGGUCCGAACCCACU
rnacentral:rRNA from 1 species